UAACAGGAUUCCCCUAGUAACUGCGAGUGAAGAGGGAAAAGCUCAAAUUUAAAAUCUGGCGGGCUCUGUCCGUCCGAGUUGUAAUCUGGAGAAGCGUUUUCCGCGUCGGACCGUGCAUAAGUCUCCUGGAACGGAGCGUCAUAGAGGGUGAGAAUCCCGUCCAUGGCACGGACCGCCGAUGCUUUGUGAUACGUUUUCAAAGAGUCGAGUUGUUUGGGAAUGCAGCUCAAAAUGGGUGGUAAAUUCCAUCUAAAGCUAAAUAUUGGCGAGAGACCGAUAGCGAACAAGUACCGUGAGGGAAAGAUGAAAAGCACUUUGGAAAGAGAGUUAAACAGUACGUGAAAUUGUUGAAAGGGAAACGCUUGAAGUCAGUCGCGUCCGACGGAACUCAGCCUUGCUUCGGCCUGGUGUACUUUCUGUCGGACGGGUCAACAUCAGUUUUGACCGGUGGAGAAAGGUAGGGGGAAUGUAGCGCUGUUUCGGCGGCGUGUUAUAGCCCCUUGCUGUAUGCAUCGGUUGGGACUGAGGACCGCAGCACGCCUUUUUGGCCGGGGGUUCGCCCCACGUACCGUGCUUAGGAUGUUGGCAUAAUGGCUUUAAGCGACCCGUCUUGAAACACGGACCAAGGAGUCCAACAUGCUUGCGAGUGUUCGGGUGGAAAACCCUUGCGCGUAAUGAAAGUAACAGUUGGGAACCUCCGCAAGGGGGUGCACCGACGCCCGGCCCUGAAGUUCUCUGACGGUGCUGCGGUAGAGCAAGUAUGCUGGGACCCGAAAGAUGGUGAACUAUGCCUGAAUAGGGCGAAGCCAGAGGAAACUCUGGUGGAGGCUCGUAGCGAUUCUGACGUGCAAAUCGAUCGUCAAAUUUGGG
rnacentral:rRNA from 1 species